GCCGGCCUAGCUCAAUUGGUAGAGCAACUGACUUGUAAUCAGAGGGUUGGGGGUUCAAGUCCUCUGGCCGGCACCA
rnacentral:tRNA from 1 species